GACGAACGCUGGCGGCGUGCUUAACACAUGCAAGUCGAACGGUAAGGCCCCGUCUGGGGUAGACGCGUGGCGAACGGGCGAGUAAGACACGAGCAAGUUGCCCUUGACUGUCGAAUAACAGUCGGAAAGAGACGGUAAUAAUUGACAUACAUGGGCUCCUGCCUGGGGGGGGGGGGUGAACUGCGGCGGUGGGUGGGGAUGGACUCGCGGCUUAUCAGCUUGUUGGUGGGGUGGUGGCUUACCAAGGCGUCGACGGGUAGCCGGCCUGAGAGGGCGACCGGCCACACUGGGACUGAGAUACGGCCCAGACUCCUACGGGAGGCAGCAGUGGGGAAUAUUGCACAAUGGGCGCAAGCCUGAUGCAGCAACGCCGCGUGCGGGAUGACGGCCUUCGGGUUGUAAACCGCUUUCAGUAGGGACGAAGGGUGACUGACGGUACCUACAGAAGAAGCACCGGCUAACUACGUG
rnacentral:rRNA from 1 species